rnacentral:rRNA from 1 species
AACGAACGCUGGCGGCAUGCCUAACACAUGCCAGUCGAACGAGACCUUCGGGUCUAGUGGCGCACGGGUGCGUAACGCGUGGGAACCUGCCCUUAGGUUCGGAAUAACUCCCCGAAAGGGGUGCUAAUACCGGAUAAUGUCUUCGGACCAAAGAUUUAUCGCCUUUGGAUGGGCCCGCGUUGGAUUAGCUAGUUGGUAGGGUAAAAGCCUACCAAGGCGACGAUCCAUAGCUGGUCUGAGAGGAUGAUCAGCCACACUGGGACUGAGACACGGCCCAGACUCCUACGGGAGGCAGCAGUGGGGAAUAUUGGACAAUGGGCGAAAGCCUGAUCCAGCAAUGCCGCGUGAGUGAUGAAGGCCUUAGGGUUGUAAAGCUCUUUUACCCGGGAUGAUAAUGACAGUAUCGGGAGAAUAAGCGCCGGCUAACUCCGUG